GACGAACGCUGGCGGCGUGCCUAAUACAUGCAAGUCGAGCGGACUGAAUGGGAGCUUGCUCUUGUUCGGUCAGCGGCGGACGGGUGAGUAACACGUGGGCAACCUGCCCGCAAGACCGGGAUAACUCCGGGAAACCGGAGCUAAUACCGGAUAACACCGAAGACCGCAUGGUCUUUGGUUGAAAGGCGGCGCAAGCUGCCACUUGCGGAUGGGCCCGCGGCGCAUUAGCUAGUUGGUGAGGUAACGGCUCACCAAGGCGACGAUGCGUAGCCGGCCUGAGAGGGUGACCGGCCACACUGGGCCUGAGACACGGCCCAGACUCCUACGGGAGGCAGCAGUAGGGAAUCUUCCGCAAUGGGCGAAAGCCUGACGGAGCGACGCCGCGUGAGCGAAGAAGGCCUUCGGGUCGUAAAGCUCUGUUGUGAGGGACGAAGGAGCGCCGUUUGAAGAAGGCGGCGCGGUGACGGUACCUCACGAGGAAGCCCCGGCUAACUACGUG
rnacentral:rRNA from 1 species